rnacentral:rRNA from 1 species
UACAGAGGAGCCAAGCGUUGUCCGGAUUGACUGGGCGUAAAGCGCACGCAGGCGGAUGCGCGCGUGGGGUGUGAAAUCUGGCCGCUUAACGGCCAGGCGCCAUCCCAUACGGCGCGUCUGGAGUGAUGCAGAGGUCGAUGGAAUUGCCGGUGUAGUGGUGAAAUGCGUAGAGAUCGGCAGGAACACCCAGGGGGAAACCAGUGGACUGGGCAGGAGCUGACGCUCAGGUGCGAAAGCGUGGGGAGCGAACCGGG